GCCAACUUCUCUUUCCCAGGUGGCCAGGGCAGUACAGAAAUCCAACAGCCAGUCUCUGCAGGAGCUUCGGAGGGAGCCAGGUGGAACCUCACCUGCUCUCACCCCUCCAUGAGAAGUGAGUGGAUAUUCUGGUGCCGGCAACUCCCCAGCCAGGGGCCCGACUUCAUCUUUGAAGAACUUAAAGUCCCGGCUUCCAGCACUGAGCCGGAGGGGACUUUAUUCGUAAAGAAGUCGAGGGCUAGAGCAGUUACUCCAUACAGGAGACCAUAUAGGUGUCUCCGCUGGGAUCUACGAUUCCAUUGUUUGCUCUAAUCCAGGAUUUUUCCUACUAGACAAUUAUGGGAAACGCAAUGAAACACAGCUUUCACUGCAAAGUAUGAAACAAUCCGAAGCACAAAACUCCCAUUCUCUCUGAUAAAAGCUGGGGACGCCUGUGUUCUGGGAGGAAAAUUGUACUAUGUAGAAAAGGCAGGUAAGUAUCUAAAGAGAAAAAGGUUUGUGUGUGUGUGUGUGUGGGGGGGGGGGGGUGUUGCAAUGAAAAGGACAUAUACACAGAGACAAAUGUGGGUGAGGUAAUAUACUACAUAGAUAUAAAGCAUUUGUCUGUCUAUGUAACACCAGGCAUUGCCUUGCACCAGUUAUAGCCACCAUUGUUCCUCUGGAGAUUCUGACAGCAAACUAUCAGGCAAUCCGAUUCUGCUAAAACAUUUCUCACUAGUUUAUGCAGAGUAGCUGUAGCCCUGUCAGUCCCAGGAUAUCAGAGAGACAAGAUGGGUGAGGUAAAUAUAUUCUACUGGACCAACUUCUGUGGGUGAGACAGCAGGUCUCGAAAGCUUGUCUCUCUUUCACCCACAGAAGUCGGUACAAUACAAGGUGUCACCUCACCCACCUUGUCUCCUACUAGUUUAGGCGUUUUGACACGCGGAGGCAGAGUUGAUCUGGAAAAACACACCAAUGAGAUGAUCCGAUUCUGUUCUUGUCCUGAGUAGUCUCCUGCCAGCAACUCCCUCCCCCAAACUCUGCCCCUCAACUGCUCCCAUCUCCUGACUACACCAUCCAGAAGCAUUUACAGAGCAGACUCACUCCUGUGAAGUUAGGUCCAUGUUAAUCAGCUAAAUGGCAGCUCCAGCACAGAGAUACCGGGUACAUUUCUAAGGCACCUUCUAGAGUAUAAAAUUCUCGCCUUCUCUAAAUUGAAGUAACAAGACCCGAAUAAAUAAAUUGAUAUUGGUUUCGGAAUUAGCUCUGUUUCCUCGAAGAAUCUUUCAGUCCAAGCAUGACUCUACCUUGGCUCUCAGCUGUGAUAAUCGUGUCUGUUCUAAAAGGCACCCAUGAGGCAGAGCCAGUGACCCAAACUGAAGGCAGCGUUAUCAUCCCCCAAGGGCACCCGCUGCGUCUGAAUUGUACCUACCAAUUUUCUCUCGCUACUAAUGUUGAUCCCUUCUGGUACGUGCAGUCCCGCAGCCAGCCCCCCAGGCUCUUCCUGAGGGAUCUGGGACGGGAGGACUUGGAUGAAGGGAUCAGAAAAGAGUUCGAUGCCACCCAUGAGAAAAAGCACAAAUCCUUCCAUCUGUGGAAACCGGCCAGCGAACUGAGCGACUCCGGGACCUAUUACUGCGCCGUGAGAGACACAGUGACAGGGACCGGCAGGGGAGCUGAGCAAAAACCACGCAGGGUCUGUGCGGAGCAGCAGGGAGGCGGGCACUGAGGCCUGGGGCCGACCUGGGGGCAGAAUUUGGAACAGUAAUCACACACGCUUUAGCUCUCUGUUUCCUUCUUUGCCCUAAUCUGGAGUGUUCCCAUGUCAAAAAUUAUGGUGAAUGUCAAAUAUCAUGAAUCACCAAGUAAGGUACAAUUAGGAAAGACCAGGACACAGCAUAGGAAUAUAAGAACGGCCAUACUGGGUCAGACCAAAGGUCCAUCAAGCCCAGUAUCUUCUCCUCUGACAGUGGCCAAUGGCAGGUGCCCCAAAGAG